GAUGAACGCUAGCGGCAGGCUUAAUACAUGCAAGUCGAGGGGCAGCAGUUUUGUAGCAAUACAGAAGCUGGCGACCGGCAAACGGGUGCGGAACACGUACGCAACCUUCCUUUAACUGGGAGAUAGCCCACCGAAAGGUGGAUUAAUAUCCCAUAAUAUAACUGAAUGGCAUCAUUUAGCUAUUAAAGCUCCGGCGGUUAAAGAUGGGCGUGCGUCUGAUUAGGUAGUUGGCGGGGUAACGGCCCACCAAGCCUUCGAUCAGUAGCUGAUGUGAGGGCAUGAUCAGCCACACGGGCACUGAGACACGGGCCCGACUCCUACGGGAGGCAGCAGUAAGGAAUAUUGGUCAAUGGACGCAAGUCUGAACCAGCCAUGCCGCGUGGAGGAUGAAGGCCCUCUGGGUUGUAAACUUCUUUCCUUUGGGACGAAACCCCUGUUUCUACGGGGACUGACGGUACCAGAGGAAUAAGCACCGGCUAACUCCGUGCCAGCCGCCGCGGUAAGAC
rnacentral:rRNA from 1 species